rnacentral:rRNA from 1 species
GAAACCGUCCAAAAGUUAUUCGGAAUCACUGGGGCUUAAAGGGGGUGCGUAGGCGGCGCGGUUAGUCGGAUGUGAAAUCGUACAGCUCAACUGUACAACUGCGUCUGAAACUGCCGUGCUCGAGGAAGGCAGAGGUGAGCGGAACUCAGGGUGGAGCGGUGAAAUGCGUUGAUAUCCUGGGGAACACCGGUGGCGAAGGCGGCUCACUGGGCCUUUUCUGACGCUGAGGCACGAAAGCUAGGGUAGCGAACAGGAUUAGAUACCCUGGUAGUCCUAGCUGUAAACGAUGAGCACUAGAUCGAGGAGACUUCCACAUCUUCUCGGUCGUAGCGAAAGUGUUAAGUGCUCCGCCUGGGGAGUAUGGUCGCAAAGGCUG